CUAGCAAUUCUGCACAGCAUGAGCAGGACGUCUUCCUGCACCGUCCAGGUGACACGCAGACGUGUCAUUCUCUGCAGGGCACUCUGGUCAGCUUCAUCGUGGUAGCGCAGCCUUUUGCUUUUUUCUACAGAUUUUUCUUCUUUCUUCUUCUUCUUGGUUGGCUUUCCUGUGUCCUUCCUAAGCCUCUUCCUCUUUUGGUUCUUUCCACCUCUUACUCGUUUGUUUCGAUCCUGGGUAGCUUCUUGACUGAUUUCAAUACUUUCCUUUUUCUGGAUGACAGACUCAGGUCCUGCCUUUGGUUCUCCCAAAAUGUUAAUUUUAUUACCUAAGAUGACACAUGAUUAAGGUAAUCGAUCUUUAAAGCAAUUAGAUUCUCCAAUACUAAGGUAUAAAAAGCAAGUGCCAGUUUCUCUGUCUUUAAAGACAGAAGCUCUUUCCAACUUGCCCUUUUCAGUCAACGUGGUAUUUCAUGCUAUUUCUCAGCAGCUUACACAGAAUAAAAUCCCACAUAAAUAUGGACUUAUCAAGUAAUUAUUAAGUCUCCAGUACAGUGCAAAAACACAAG
rnacentral:lncRNA from 1 species